AAAAGUUUCUACUACUGGACAGCCCUUUAAUGAUUAAGGUAUUAUCAAUAUUAAAUUGCCAUCCCUGAUGUGAACAGCUGAUUGCGGGUUUGAAUUAUUUUACUUUCUGCAAUGUUGUAUUGACAAACAACUAGCUUUACAAAAUGACUCCUUCCCGCAGAAAAUGCGUUUUUAAUAAACAACUACAAGAAGAAUACACCUUCAUAAAGGAAAUUAACAGCGGUACAGUGAAAUGUACAAAAUGUUCUGCAGUUUUCUCUAUUGCCAAUGCAGGUAAACACGAUGUGCUGCGCCAUUUACAAUCUGAGAAACAUCGAAAAGCCGAUAUUGCAGCUUCUAGCAGCAAAACCGUGAUGAGCUUUGUAAGGACACGUACAAUAGACGAUCAACGAAGAAAAAGCAGAAUAAAUCAAGGCACCUGGGCAUAUCACACUGUGCAGCAUAAUAUUUCAUUUCGCUCCAAUGACUGCACAUCGAAAAUCAUUAAAAGAUGUUUUGACGAAAAUUAUUCAUCAGCUCGCACCAAGUGUGAAUCUAUUGUUUGUAAUGUAUUAGCACCACAUGCAUUGCAACCAGUGAAAGCUGAUUUUAAUGCUAUCAAUUUUAUUACCUUUUUCCGACUGCUCAAAUCAUGGAAGUAUGAAAGUGUGUCCUGUUCUUGUUCGAUAUUUUCUGCCUGAGGAGGGUGUGCAAUUAAAAAUAUUGAAAGUAAAUGAUUUCCGUUGUGAAUCGUUUUGAUCUCAUGAAAAAGUUUGCAUUAAGUGAGAAGUUACUUGCUCUUUGUGCAGAUAAUUGUAACUUUGGAGGAGCUGCAAGACGCGGGAAAAAUAAUCUUCUCCAUAAAUUGGCAGUAUCCACUGCCAGGACCCUUAUUGGCGUAAACUGUGCCUGCGUUAAAAGUUAUGUAACUCCAGAUAACAAGAAAGGAAGGACUAAGUUCGGAUGUAACCGAACAUUUUAUACUCUCGCAAUUUAUUGAAGAAAUUUUAUUUACCUAACACAAAUUUACCCAUAAAUUCGGCAUAAAGUUUAAUAGAAUUACGAAAAUCGUCUUAUAUAGUAUAUGAGAGCUGAGGUAAUUCCUGAACCGAUAUCAUUCAUUUUCACCAGCAAGGUGCACUAUAUCCAAGACUAAGUGAGCGUAAAUCUUGCUCAGAUAUCUCACAUAUUAACCAAUACAAAUAUGCGGAAUAAAGCCCACCGUACUUUUGAAAAACCUAUAAUUAGCUAUUAAGCUACGAGCUGUUAUGACCCGAUUUUAAUAAUUUUUGGAACAGAGCACUAUUAGAAGAAAACAAUUUCCUCUGAAUUACAUUAAAAUAUCUAAGAGAUAUACUCAUAUUUUCGGUUAAAAUUUACUUUAGACGCUGAGUUCAACAUGUUCGAUAUCUGGGGCCUUGAAAAGUUAUAGUCCGUUUUCGACAAUUUUUUCACAAAUGAAGCCAGAGAUGAUAUACACUAUUUGUGUAAAGUUUUAUUCCGCUUAUCUUAUAAAGUGAACGAAUCAGAUGGAAUUCAAAAUUGGGUUAUAAGGAAAGUAGUCGUGGUUGCGAACCGAUUUCGCUCACUUUUUGUCCGUGUUAUCAAGGUGUCAAGAAAAUAUUAUAUACCGAAUUUCAAUGAAAUCUCUGGAGUGGUUCCUGAGGUUUGACCCAUAAGUGGGCGAUGCCACGCCUAUUUUCCAUUUUGUAAAAAAAUCUGAGUGCAGCUUCCUUGUGCUAUUUCUACUGUAAAAUUUUGUGUUUCUGACGUUUUUCGUUAGUGAGUUAACUCACUUUUAGUAAUUUUCAACCUAACCUUUGAAUGGGAGGUGGGCGUAGUUAAUAUCCGAUUUCAACUAUUUUCAUGGUUUGUGGUGGGGUACGUAAGAGAAUCGACUGGUUUAUAUAGCUUCAUUGGUUUGCGAGAUAUAUACAAAUAACCGAUUUGGGGGCGUGGCCACGCCCACUUUCCCAAAAAUAUUACAUCCAAAUAUGCUUCUUCGUAGUGCAAUCCUUUAUUCCAAAUUUUACUGUUAUAACUUUAUUUAUGGCUUAGUUAUGACACUUUAUGUGUUUUUGGUUUUCGAUAUUUUGUGGGCGUGGCAAUGGUCCGAUUUUGCAUUCUAUUUUCGAAAGCAACCCUAUCACGGUCCCAAGGAACAUGUGUUCCAAGUUUCAUUAAGAUAUCUCAAUUUUUACUCAAGUUAUCGCUUGCACGGACAGACGGACAGACUCCACUCAUCGGAAAGAACUUGCUUUCAAGUUGAUCACACGAAUUAAUUGUAAAAAAAGGGAAAAAUUGAAUGCCGUGACGUAGGCUGCAGGCAACUUGUUAUUCAAUUAUUGUUACAUAGAUGCCGUCGUCAAGGAAACUGCUUCCAUUUAUCACCAAAAUGGAUUCAUAAGUCUUUAUU